AUGGAGGCGCUUUCUGAGAUUCGUGCUGAGGAGACUCGCUUACGUGGUGCUGGUUUGCUGGAGGUUCCCUCUGUGCUCGCUACUCGUGCUCCUACGCCACUUGCUCCACCGACCCCUUCUCGCUCGAGUGCUCCGCCGCUCUUGCCCACUCCUUCUGGAGGCUCAGGUCGCCCCCGUCCACAUUGCGUCUAUUGCAACAAUGAUGGUCAUCUUGAGUCUCAGUGCUACACGAAGAAGAAACACCUGCGCAAGGCUUGCUCAUCAUCUUCCGGGACUUCGUCAUCUACCUCGACAGCUUCAGCCAGUGCUUUGACUGAGCAGGAUAUUCUGAGACUUAAGCGUCUGGUCGCGGCUUCAGGUUCUUCCUCGACGGGUACUGCCGGUUCUGUGACUGAUGCUUCCCGCACUGAGCAAUCACUCUCUACACAGUCAGGUACAUCCCCCUGGGUUCUGGACUCUGGAGCUUCUUUUCAUAUGUCUUCUCAUUCUUCCACUUUGUCCUCUCUUCGAUCACUGGAUUCUCCUAUUCAUGUCUUCACUGCUGAUGGUACUCCACUUUCUGUUGCUAGUAGAGGCAAUCUUACUACUCCUUCUUAUUCUGUUCCUGAUGUUGCUCAUGUUCCUCGACUUACCAUGAAUUUGUUUUCUGCUGGUCAACUUACGGAUUCUGGUUGUCGCGUCAUCCUUGACGUUGACUCUUGUUCUAUCCAGGACCGUCACACGCACACUCUGGUUGGGGCUGGCCCUCGCCGCCGUGAUUCUCAUGGUCAUUGGGAGUUGGACUGGCUUCAUGUUCCUUCUGCUGCCACCACCAUCGCCAGUUCUUCCGCUUCUGUCGCCUCCGUCACUGGUUCCUUCCAGCAGUGGCAUCAUUGA
rnacentral:rRNA from 1 species